rnacentral:misc_RNA from 1 species
AAGUCGUAACAAGGUUUCCGUAGGUGAACCUGCGGAAGGAUCAUCACCGUAAAAGAUACGUUAGGCACCAGUGAAUUGUGAGGUGGGCGGCACGUGUGGGACUAGCAUUGGUUGGGCGUUCGGGGUCGCUGGGCGGCACGGCAUUGCUGUGCCACCCACGCGAUCCCGACCGCCCGCCAGCGCACCCCCUCUGCGUGCGCAGCCCGCAUUUCCUUGACACGCAUACAAACACACACAAACAUCCAGAUACAAAUAAACACAACUUUCAACAAUGGAUCUCUUGGCUCUC